rnacentral:rRNA from 1 species
AUACGGAGGGUCCAAGCGUUAUCCGGAUUCAUUGGGUUUAAAGGGUCCGCAGGCGGGGAAAUAAGUCAGUGGUGAAAGCCUACAGCUCAACUGUAGAACUGCCAUUGAUACUGUUUUUCUUGAGUAUAGAUGAAGUGGGCGGAAUAUAUCAUGUAGCGGUGAAAUGCAUAGAUAUGAUAUAGAACACCGAUUGCGAAGGCAGCUCACUAAACUAUUACUGACGCUCAGGGACGAAAGCGUGGGGAGCGAACAGGAUUAGAAACCCUAGUAGUCC